AGUUCAGAUCGCAGUCUGCAACUCGACUGCGUGAAGUCGGAAUCGCUAGUAAUCGCGGAUCAGCAUGCCGCGGUGAAUACGUUCCCGGGCCUUGUACACACCGCCCGUCACACCAUGAGAGUCGGGAACACCCGAAGCCCGUAGCCUAACAGCAAUGAGGGCGCGGUCGAAGGUGGGUUCGAUAAUUGGGGUGAAGUCGUAACAAGGUAUC
rnacentral:rRNA from 1 species